GUGCUCCUUCGGCAGCACAUGUACUAAAAACUGGAGUGAUACCAAGGGGAUUAGUGUGGCCCCUGCACAAGGAUGACACACAAAUUCGUGAAGAGUUCCAUAUUGUU